CACGUAAUUAGCCGGUCCUUAUUCCUAUGGUACUGUCAUUUUCUUCCCAUAGAAAAGAUUUUUUACAACCCGAAGGCCUUCUAAAUCACGCGGCGUCGCUGCAUCAGGGUUUCCCCCAUUGUGCAAAAUUCCCCACUGCUGCCUCCCGUAGGAGUCUGGGCCGUGUCUCAGUCCCAAUGUGGCCGUACACUCUCUCAAGCCGGCUACUGAUCGCUGUCUUGGUAGGCCGUUACCCCACCAACUAACUAAUCAGACGCAAGUCCAUCUUAGAGCGAUAAAUCUUUGACCAACUCUCCAUGCGAAGUGUUGGUAUCAUAGGGUAUUAUUCUUCGUUUCCAAAGGCUAUCCCCUUCUCUAAGGCAGGUUACUCACGCGUUACUCACCCGUCCGCCACUAAUCCACUUUUUUUCAUUUCCGAAGAAAUCAAAAAAGUUUCAAUCGUUCGACUUGCAUGUGUUAUGCACGCCGCCAGCGUUAAUCCUGAGCCAGGAUCAAACUCU
rnacentral:rRNA from 1 species